AGGGAAUAUUGGGCAAUGGAGGCAACUCUGACCCAGCCAUGCCGCGUGCAGGAUGAAGGCGCUCAGCGUCGUAAACUGCUUUUAUCUGGGAAGAACUGUGGUCCUGCGGGAUUAUUUGACGGUACCAGAGGAAUAAGCACCGGCUAACUCCGUGCCAGCAGCCGCGGUAAUACGGAGGGUGCAAGCGUUGUCCGGAUUUAUUGGGUUUAAAGGGUGCGCAGGUGGGUAUUUAAGUCUGGUUUGAAAGCAGGUGGCUCAACCAUCUGAUGUGGCUGGAAACUGGAUAUCUUGAAUGGGUUGGCGGUAGCCGGAAUGGGUCAUGUAGCGGUGAAAUGCAUAGAUAUGACCCGGAACACCGAUUGCGAAGGCAGGCUACUACGACUUGAUUGACACUGAGGCACGAGAGCAUGGGUAGCGAA
rnacentral:rRNA from 1 species